CCGCGUUACCCUGCGAGCGGGGACCCGGAGCUGACUCGCUGGAGCCCUAAGGCCCGCAGAGAGGCACCAGGGUCAGGAGAGGGACAGAGGGAUGAGGGGUGUCGCAGAGUAGGACAGAAGGGCCAACCCCGCGGCGUCCGACACGUGGCAGGUGGAGGGCAGGGCAGAGAGCAGCGAACGAAGGUGGCGACUGACGCGGAAGGGAGAUACAGGGAGAAGUUUGCAGUUUGCUACUUGGAAGAGAGCCUCAUCAGAACCCAACCAUCUUAGCAUCCUGAUUUUGGAUGUCCAGACUCCAGAACUGAAAGAAUUGUCAUGUCUGGAUAGUUAUUUUCUGAAUUAGCUGUAAUCCAGGCAGAAGCUUCUCUAUGGUGUGCAUUUUUCAGAAAUGGCAGGAAACAAACAAAACACAAGAUUGCUCUGUUGUAGACAGAACUCUGGUGCUGAGAUUGCAGGAUUAACAACUUUAGCAUUCUAAGCAAGUGUUGCUUUUUUUCUCCAGAAUUCAAUUGUUGCAAAGAGGCUGGAGAUAUUGUAACUGUGAAGAUUCACUUGACUGUAUGUCUAGUGGUUGAGCUAUGAAGGAGGCCUGAAAGGGGAAAGUGGGGUGGAAGCCCUUUCUCAAAACAUUAACCUAAGGGAUGAGUCAUGGGAGCUAUCUUAAAAACCAACUUCAGUAGUCUGCAUCAUGUAGUUUCAAAACAGGAUGUCUGCUUCAAUCAGAACCUACUGACAGGAAAAUUAUUCUUGAAAUGAAGCCUGAGGAAAUGACUGGAUACUUGAUAAAGUGUUCGUGUGAUAGUAGUUAGAGGUGGGGAGAGGAUAGUGAAACAAAGAAGAGAGAGGAAGAAAAAUGACUGGUUGUGUUCUAGGACUGAAAGUGUAUAUGAGAGCGACUUCGACAACUACAAGCCUUAUAACCUUUAUAUCAAAGUGAUUGACAUCCUAGUUGGCUUUGAAUACCUGAGAUAACAUGCCUUACUCUGGAAUGGAGUGAAAGCGAGAGAAGAAAUAUUCAAAUUACCAGGGAAAGUAUAUGAAAUGCUUUCCACGCACAGCCUGGAAAUGAAAACCAAAUUUUCCUGACUACCAAUGUGAAAGCACUAGAAGAUUCAGUAGUUACUUUUAAGACUGAGAGAAGAGAUGUUUAAGCUGGAAGUGAUGAAAGGCUUUUUAAUUAAAGCAGCG